rnacentral:lncRNA from 1 species
UCCCUUAUUAAGGAGGAAUUUUUGUGGAAAUGCUCGAGGGCAUUUUCUACCGUUGGGCAAGGGCAAAACCUAGGCGGACGCCCUGGUCUAGGCAUUGGGAGCUCGCUUAGGCGACGUCCAAUCUGCUUGGGGCGGCGCCAAGGCCUCCCAGGGGCACCCCACCUUGAUAGAUUGGCUGUUUUCUCUUUCCUUGGUUGAUUGCUUCAAGAGAUUUACGUUGGAGGUUUGAGAUUCAGUCAAGGAAAAUAAGUAAAGUUCUUAGAAGUGAUCGGGGAUACAAAUACACCCUUAACUGUUUGGUAAGUCCAAUGCGGAUCAAGGGAUAGGUUCCGUAAGAAACGAUAUCCUAUGCUCAGCAUCAAAAUGGUAUCGCAAAAGGUAGGAAUUUUUUCCUAAUUUACAAGGGAGUUCCAUGAUGGCAGAAACACAUAUCGUAUUGACCUUUUGUUUGGGAGAUGCUUUGUUGACUGUUAUGUACAUUUUUACUAGAAUUCCUUCAAAACCUGUGCCUAAAAUCUCUUAUGAGUUGUGGACUAGUAGAAAACUUGGUCUAUCACAUCCCAUAGGACUAGUAAUCUAGAUUAAAGGUCCAUGGAAUGUCCUUUCAUAUGAUAUGUUACUUCAAAGGUAUAUCCUAAUCUAUGAUUUUGAAAUGGGUGGAAUCUCAUGAUGUGAACUUCAUUUUGUCGAAGUACUUAAGCACUGAGAGGUCUGUGGGAUCUUAAAUAGGGAAUGGUGAAGCGAUUCCUCUACUAAAGGGCUAUAGUGUGAGUAUUCCUAUAGUCGUCAAGAAUAGUGGGAAUGAACCGCCAUUCAUUCUCAAGCAUCAAAGGAGUGCAAGUGACAGAGUUCCCCAUAGACAUUUUGAGAUUGAAGGGGAAUGCCUGACAUGCAUCUCCAUUAAUGAGGAUGAAUCAGGUCUAUAUCAGGAAAGCACUGCAAUUCUUUGUUGUAGCCAAUUGGAUUGCCACAAUGUCCCAAGAGAUUAGUUCCAUGGCUAUGGUCGCUCAAGGAUAUUUUUUCACGCUUGGAGUGGGAGCGCUUUUCCGGUAUAAUAAGAAGCAGACGUGUUUGCUAUUGACGUCCUUAGAGGCGAUGGACAUUGCUUAUUGUGUAGCAUUUGCUGGAGGGCUGAUGGCCUAGGAGGUUCUUGCAAUGUUAGGGUUCGGAUCAAGUGCUAGAGAGCCUGUUGCCGUGUGUUGUACCAACUCGACAACACUAGCUUCUAUAAAGAAUGCAAAGUAUCACAAUAAGUGAAAGCACUUGGAGAUAAAAAAUUAUCUUGUGUGAAAUGUUAUUGAGAAGAAAUAGGUUUUCUUGACAUAAAUUCCCCUGCGUAGGGUGGUAAUAGACUCUCUGUUGUGCAUCAACACGCUCCAUUUAGCAUCCCACUUGAUGCAUUGCUUGCGACAAGACGCAUGAAUGUGACUGAAUUGAGACAUGUUUGGUGAAAUCUGAUAUAGUAUCUUGUAUUAUUUAUCAUUUACAUCAUGUAGUUCGACUCAUAGUGUGACAUGAGUCACACUUGCCGUUAUUAGUCAUAUUGAGGUGCAUACGAUAUUCCCUGCCUCUUGUUAUACCGUCGAUAAUUGCCCGUCACCAAGUGACCUUGAGUGCCUUCAUAGAUCUGGUGACUAGGUUAAGAAUUGGAGACUUGAUUGUGCUACUUUAGCAUGUCUUCCCUAUUUGUUAUUUGGGGUUCUCACCCCAUAGGUAGGACCUCACCACGGUGACCAUUCACCACCUAGUGGCUAUUCACCAUGGUGGAACAAAACUCCCAUAUAACUGGGCCCUACAGUGGCCAAUUGACCUCGAUAUUUAGUUAGGAGUCGCUGAGAUCAAAAUUAGGGGAUUUGGAGGCAUGAGUGAACUUGUUUUCUUUGGAGUGUUAAAUGCCCCGUCUCGGUAAAAUUUCGAAGCGCAACGGUUCCGACUAGUACAACUCCAGAAUACAUCUAGAACAAAUAUAAUAUUUUUGAGUCUCUGAGUUGCACACUCAAGGCCCG